GAAACACACUGAAUGUUUGACCUUGGAAAACAAUGCCUGAGACUGUCACAAAGCCAGCAAAACUCAGGCUUUCACCUGCCAUGUAAUGCAAUGAGAACUUAUCCCCCAACUUGCCAUCAACCGAAACGGACGCGCAGAUCGCCAGCUGAAAUGCACUGCACACACCAGGAAGCUUGCUGCUUUGUGUAACACGAAGAACAAAAGUGAUCACUCUGGGAAGAACCACACCAGGUUAGGGAGUUGUCACUUUUCUAAAGGGCAGGGUCGCUGGGCCUGCCUUCCUUCGGGGGUCCACAGUGACGCGGUGCUCCGGGUUUUUGGCCAUAGCAGACCAGAAGGGUGCUAAGGCGCUAUUUAGAGGCCAGUGCGGCACAGCCACCCUUAAACAGGAAGCUCUGCAUGCAGCUACGCAAGAACACCGAGAAUCAGGCCACCAGAACCCAAAGCACCACCAGGAGGCAGCCUAGAACAGUUCCAUGGUGUAACUGUUCUCUGCCGUGAGGCUUCAUGACACAUGCCCCAUGAAACAUUUUUAAAGGUGUUGAUUCAAAUAACGCAAAAACCAGUUAAGUAGAGGUGAAAUAACAAUGGGCCAGAUCGCUUCUCGGCCUUUUGGCUAAGAUCAAGUGUAACAAUGGGCCAGAAUUCCCAGUGGUACACAGCUGGGCUCCCACUGCAUCCUGAACUCCUACUUAUCACGGACAACUCCAUUCAACACUUGACCACAAGAGAUCAUUACAAAACCAUCUCUGUAACUCGAACAACCAAGAAAUCUGUUUGUAUCGCUUGGGAAAAAGUUAGUGAAUUGCUCACUGUAAUGAAUGGCAAAAGAAGGUCCCUCUGUGAUCAUUAGUCACAACCUUUACAUCGUUGUUCAACCUUUACACUGUCCGCUCUGUACCCUUUGAGCCUUUAGUUUCCUUGGUGUACAUCCAUGAACAGAGAGGAGCGUGUUAAUCUGCCCCUCCAUGCGAACAGGCCUCAGCUGCUACCUUGUGCAUGUGUGAAUUUUUAGUGCAAGUAUCUGUCAACACUUACGUUUUCCAACACAGAACCGUAAAGUGAAAGGCUGUGUGUCUUCCCCUGGAUUUCAGCACUAAGUCCUCACUGUACUUGUACCCCACAGCUGACCAGCCUGCCACCCUCCUAUGCCUUGUCUUUGUGUUUUUGGUUUGCAUGUAAGUGAUGCACAUCAGCAUACAGCUCAGUAGCUGAGUUUAGUAUCUGCUUGGCUCUUCUUCUGGAGCAAAGGUUGCGUACACGGAACAUACACAUUUGAGUCCAUGUUGGCUGAGCGCUGACAUAGUCCCACUGAGAUGCAGACCACCAGUAUCACCCACAAAGGACACACACAACCUUUCCAUCACUCUCUCCUCCCACCCUCCUGGGGACAACCAUGUUCUACUGUUCUUCCACCAUGGAAUAAUGAGACUUCCAUCCGGGCUAAUUAACAUGACCAUUCCAGAAACUCCCAGAAUCAGAGCCACACAGUUCUUCUGCUCACAGUGUUUCUGAGGUCACCCAUGGUAGCUGUGUCCCUUCCUGUCCACUGCUGAAGAGAAUCCCACAGUGAAUUUCACAUUUGGCUUUGUCAUUCUCUGAGCAUUUCACAUGUUCGCAGUGACUGUAUUACUGCCCGGAACAAUAAAGUUGCUGUAUGUUCUUGCACACAGCUUUUGUUAGUAUGUGUUUUCAUUUACUUAUCUUUAGCAAGUAAGAGUUGAAUUGCUAGGCCGUAAGAUAGUGAUGCCUAAUUUUGUAACAGACCUUAAGACCAAAAUGGUUAUAUCAUUUAGUAUCCUGCUAAUGCUACAGGAAUAUUCCAGUUGCCCCAUAUCCUUGCCAAAGUCUGGUCAUGUAUUUUUAGUUUAGUAGGUACAGUGGCAUCAAAUUUUUAUUCCACAUUUUCAGAACUGAUUAAACAUGUUCCAUGUUGACUCACAUACUGAAUGUUGUAAGGUGCACACAAUUGGUCAUUACAUCUUCACUGAAGACUAUUUUAUUACACUAAUAACCCUUUGAGUAGUAAUUUUGUCUUACCAUUUACUGCAUCUCUUAUUGAUACAGCCAGACCAGCUACUUUUCAUUAGUACUGUGCCGUAUUAACUAUUUUAUUCCCUUUCCUUUCACUCUUUCCCUGUCCUCAGGUUUUAAGAAUGUUCCUUGCAGACAUCACACAGGUAAGUGUCACCCGGCACAACACACUCCGCCUUCCAGCAGACGACUCUGGUCCACUGAAACAGUGUUUACUCACACAUUUGGAAGUUUCCCACAACUGGUCUUACUCUGUAAUUCCUAACCAUCCUUUUGCUAUUUUCCCUCAUCUUUUCUCGGCCUUCUUUGAUUAGGGCUUUUCCCCUCUGUGUCACUGUCCUUAUUCACUAGUUUAGAGAACACAGGUUCUAUUAGGUUACUGAUUACAUUUUACAAUUUAGUAUUAAAGACCUUACAUGUCUCGCAAAUGACGUGAGGCCUCAGCACACUGCAGUCCAGACUGGUCUUUCUAGAAAGUUCACUGCUUUUCCUAAGCCUGAUCUAACGGAAAAGACUGGGUAAACACAGAUGUUGACAACGUGCCAUCGCUGCUAGCACUCCCAGGCACGCAUGCUACGUGCACCACUACAGGAGCAUUUAGUUUUGGUUUUUGGCUUUUGGUUUUUCUCCGGUACCGG